rnacentral:rRNA from 1 species
GGACCCGCACAAGUAGUGGAGUAUGUGGCUUUAAUUCGAUGCAACGCGAAGAACCUUACCUAGGCUUGACAUGCUUGUCGUACUCUCCCGAAAAGGAGAGGUCACUUCGGGUGGACAAUGCACAGGUGCUGCAUGGCCGUCGUCAGCUCGUGUCGUGAGAUGUUUGGUUAAGUCCAGCAACGAGCGCAACCCCUGUGAACUGUUGCCAGCGCGUAAAGGCGGGACUCUGUUCAGACUGCCCAGAUCAACUGGGAGGAAGGUGGGGACGACGUCAGGUCAGUAUGGCCCUUACGCCUAGGGCUGCACACGUACUACAAUGCCCAGCACAAUGAGAACCGAGACCGCAAGGUGGAGGA